rnacentral:rRNA from 1 species
GUAGCUAAUACCGCAUAUGAUCUAAGGAUGAAAGCGGGGGAUCGCAAGACCUCGCGCGUUUGGAGCGGCCGAUGGCAGAUUAGGUAGUUGGUGGGGUAAAGGCUUACCAAGCCUGCGAUCUGUAGCUGGUCUGAGAGGACGACCAGCCACACUGGGACUGAGACACGGCCCAGACUCCUACGGGAGGCAGCAGUGGGGAAUUUUGGACAAUGGGCGAAAGCCUGAUCCAGCCAUUCCGCGUGCAGGAUGAAGGCCCUCGGGUUGUAAACUGCUUUUGUACAGAACGAAAAAGCUCUAGUUAAUACCUGGAGUCCAUGACGGUACUGUAAGAAUAAGCACCGGCUAACUACGUGCCAGCAGCCGCGGUAAUACGUAGGGUGCAAGCGUUAAUCGGAAUUACUGGGCGUAAAGCGUGCGCAGGCGGUGAUGUAAGACAGUUGUGAAAUCCCCGGGCUCAACCUGGGAACUGCAUCUGUGACUGCAUCGCUGGAGUGCGGCAGAGGGG